rnacentral:rRNA from 1 species
GAUCCUGGCUCAGAUUGAACGCUGGCGGCAGGCCCAACACAUGCAAGUCGAGCGGUAACAUUUCUAGCUUGCUAGAAGAUGGCGAGCGGCGGACGGGUGAGUAAUACUUGGGGAUCUGCCUGAUGGCGGGGGACAACCACUGGAAACGGUGGCUAAUACCGCAUAAUGCCUACGGGCCAAAGUGUGGGACCUUCGGGCCACAUGCCAUCAGAUGAACCCAAGCGAGAUUAGCUAGUUGGUGAGGUAACGGCUCACCAAGGCGACGAUCUCUAGCUGUUCUGAGAGGAUGAUCAGCCACACUGGGACUGAGACACGGCCCAGACUCCUACGGGAGGCAGCAGUGGGGAAUAUUGGACAAUGGGCGCAAGCCUGAUCCAGCCAUGCCGCGUGUGUGAAGAAGGCCUUCGGGUUGUAAAGCACUUUCAGUGGUGAGGAAGGCGUUGUAGUUGAUAGCUGCAACGAUUGACGUUAGCCACAGAAGAAGCACCGGCUAACUCCGUGCCAGCAGCCGCGGUAAUACGGAGGGUGCGAGCGUUAAUCGGAAUUACUGGGCGUAGAGCGCACGUAGGCGGCUUGUUAAGCAAGAUGUGAAAGCCCAGGGCUCAACCUUGGAAUUGCAUUUUGAACUGGCAAGCUAGAGUUUUGAAGAGGGUGGUAGAAUUUCCAGUGUAGCGGUGAAAUGCGUAGAUAUUGGAAGGAAUACUAGUGGC